rnacentral:rRNA from 1 species
UCUAGGUUGUAAAUUAAUAAAAAUUUACCGGAGUACUACAAAUAGAUAAUUUAGAAGUUUAAAACUCAAAGGGCUUGGCGGUGUUUUAGACUUUUCAGGGGAACCUGUCUCAUAAUCGAUAAUCCGCGUUAUACCUAACCUUUUGUGGUAGAUCAGUUUGUAUACCGUCGUCGGCAGGUAACUUUUAAAAAUAGAUAAGUUGGCGAUAAAAAUUUUUUUAUUUAGACGUCAGAUCAAGGUGCAGCUCAUAAAAAGGUGAAGAUGGGUUACAGUUAUAUAAUUAUAAUUACGAAUAAAUGAAGGGAUAUAUUUGUUUAGAAGGUGGACUUGAAAGUAAAAUGAAUUAUAUAAAUACUUUGAAUAUAGCUCUAAAACGUGC